CUGAAGAGUUUGAUCAUGGCUCAGAUUGAACGCUGGCGGCAGGCCUAACACAUGCAAGUCGAGCGGUAGCACAGAGAGCUUGCUCUCGGGUGACGAGCGGCGGACGGGUGAGUAAUGUCUGGGAAACUGCCUGAUGGAGGGGGAUAACUACUGGAAACGGUAGCUAAUACCGCAUAACGUCGCAAGACCAAAGUGGGGGACCUUCGGGCCUCAUGCCAUCAGAUGUGCCCAGAUGGGAUUAGCUAGUAGGUGGGGUAAUGGCUCACCUAGGCGACGAUCCCUAGCUGGUCUGAGAGGAUGACCAGCCACACUGGAACUGAGACACGGUCCAGACUCCUACGGGAGGCAGCAGUGGGGAAUCUUAGACAAUGGGCGCAAGCCUGAUCUAGCCAUGCCGCGUGAGUGAUGAAGGUCUUAGGAUCGUAAAGCUCUUUCGCCAGGGAUGAUAAUGACAGUACCUGGUAAAGAAACCCCGGCUAACUCCGUGCCAGCAGCCGCGGUAAUACGGAGGGGGUUAGCGUUGUUCGGAAUUACUGGGCGUAAAGCGUGCGUAGGCGGAUUAGAAAGUAUGGGGUGAAAUCCCAGGGCUCAACCCUGGAACUGCCUCAUAAACUACUAGUCUAGAGUUCGAGAGAGGUGAGUGGAACUCCGAGUGUAGAGGUGAAAUUCGUAGAUAUUCGGAAGAACACCAGUGGCGAAGGCGGCUCACUGGCUCGAUACUGACGCUGAGGUACGAAAGUGUGGGGAGCAAACAGGAUUAGAUACCCUGGUAGUCCACGCUGUAAACGAUGUCGACUUGGAGGUUGUUCCCUUGAGGAGUGGCUUCCGGAGCUAACGCGUUAAGUCGACCGCCUGGGGAGUACGGCCGCAAGGUUAAAACUCAAAUGAAUUGACGGGGGCCCGCACAAGCGGUGGAGCAUGUGGUUUAAUUCGAUGCAACGCGAAGAACCUUACCUACUCUUGACAUCCAGAGAACUUAGCAGAGAUGCUUUGGUGCCUUCGGGAACUCUGAGACAGGUGCUGCAUGGCUGUCGUCAGCUCGUGUUGUGAAAUGUUGGGUUAAGUCCCGCAACGAGCGCAACCCUUAUCCUUUGUUGCCAGCGAUUCGGUCGGGAACUCAAAGGAGACUGCCAGUGAUAAACUGGAGGAAGGUGGGGAUGACGUCAAGUCAUCAUGGCCCUUACGAGUAGGGCUACACACGUGCUACAAUGGCAUAUACAAAGAGAAGCGACCUCGCGAGAGCAAGCGGACCUCAUAAAGUAUGUCGUAGUCCGGAUUGGAGUCUGCAACUCGACUCCAUGAAGUCGGAAUCGCUAGUAAUCGUAGAUCAGAAUGCUACGGUGAAUACGUUCCCGGGCCUUGUACACACCGCCCGUCACACCAUGGGAGUUGGGUCCACCCGAAGGCCGUGCGCCAACCUU
rnacentral:rRNA from 1 species